CGCGUGAGGAACCUGCCUCAAAGAGGGGGACAACAGUUGGAAACGACUGCUAAUACCGCAUAAGCCCACGGCUCGGCAUCGAGCAGAGGGAAAAGGAGCAAUCCGCUUUGAGAUGGCCUCGCGUCCGAUUAGCUAGUUGGUGAGGUAACGGCCCACCAAGGCGACGAUCGGUAGCCGGACUGAGAGGUUGAACGGCCACAUUGGGACUGAGACACGGCCCAGACUCCUACGGGAGGCAGCAGUGGGGAAUAUUGCACAAUGGGGGAAACCCUGAUGCAGCGACGCCGCGUGGAGGAAGAAGGUCUUCGGAUUGUAAACUCCUGUUGUUGGGGAAGAUAAUGACGGUACCCAACAAGGAAGUGACGGCUAACUACGUGCCAGCAGCCGCGGUAAAACGUAGGUCACAAGCGUUGUCCGGAAUUACUGGGUGUAAAGGGAGCGCA
rnacentral:rRNA from 1 species